rnacentral:rRNA from 1 species
GAUGAACGCUGGCGGCGUGCUUAACACAUGCAAGUCGAGCGAAGCAGUUAAGAAGAUUCUUCGGAUGAUUCUUAACUGACUGAGCGGCGGACGGGUGAGUAACGCGUGGGUGACCUGCCCCAUACCGGGGGAUAACAGCUGGAAACGGCUGCUAAUACCGCAUAAGCGCACAGAGCUGCAUGGCUCGGUGUGAAAAACUCCGGUGGUAUGGGAUGGGCUCGCGUCUGAUUAGGCAGUUGGCGGGGUAACGGCCCACCAAACCGACGAUCAGUAGCCGGCCUGAGAGGGCGACCGGCCACAUUGGGACUGAGACACGGCCCAAACUCCUACGGGAGGCAGCAGUGGGGAAUAUUGCACAAUGGGGGAAACCCUGAUGCAGCGACGCCGCGUGAGCGAAGAAGUAUUUCGGUAUGUAAAGCUCUAUCAGCAGGGAAGAUAAUGACGGUAC